UACGUUCCCGGGCCUUGUACACACCGCCCGUCACACCACGAAAGUGGGCAACACCCGAAGCCGGUGGCCCAACCCCUUGGGGAGGGAGCCGUCGAAGGUGGGGCUCGCGAUUGGGGUG
rnacentral:rRNA from 1 species